GGGAAGAGCUCAAAUUUGAAAUCUGGCGUCCUCAGGGCGUCCGAGUUGUAAUCUAUAGAGGCGUUUUCCGUGCCGGACCGUGUCCAAGUUCCUUGGAACAGGAUAUCAAAGAGGGUGACAAUCCCGUACUUGACACGACGACCGGUGCUCUGUGAUACGUCUUCUACGAGUCGAGUUGUUUGGGAAUGCAGCUCAAAAUGGGUGGUGAGUUCCAUCUAAAGCUAAAUAUUGGCGAGAGACCGAUAGCGAACAAGUACCGUGAGGGAAAGAUGAAAAGCACUUUGGAAAGAGAGUUAAACAGUACGUGAAAUUGUUGAAAGGGAAACGAUUGAAGUCAGUCGUGACCGAGAGGCUCAGCCGGUUCUGCCGGUGUAUUCCCCUCGGUCGGGUCAACAUCAGUUUUGUCCGGUGGAUAAGGGCGGUAGGAAGGUGGCACCCUCGGGUGUGUUAUAGCCUGCCGUCGCAUACAUCGGGUGAGACUGAGGAACGCAGCUCGCCUUUAUGGCCGGGGUUCGCCCACGUCCGAGCUUAGGAUGUUGACAUAAUGGCUUUAAACGACCCGUCUUGAAACACGGACCA
rnacentral:rRNA from 1 species